rnacentral:tRNA from 2 species
GGGGCCAUAGCUCAGUUGGGAGAGCGCCAGAUUGAUAAUCUGGAGGGCAGGGGUUCGAUCCCCCUUGGCUAUUC